rnacentral:rRNA from 1 species
GCCUGACCGUAAACCUUAAAUUACACCUCAAUCGCCAGGGAACUACGAGCAAAGCUUAAAACCCAAAGGACUUGACGGUACCCCACAUCCACCUAGAGGAGCCUGUCCUAUAAUCGAUAAUCCACGUUUUACCUCACCACUUUUAGCUUCCCAGCCUGUAUACCUCCGUCGUCAGCUUACCGCGUGAGUGAAACUCAGUGAGCUUAAUGUCCACACGUCUAUACGUCAGGUCAAGGUGCAGUAAAUGAAGUGGCAAGAGAUGGGCUACACUUUCUAACCUAGAACAUACGAAAGAUCAUUUAUGAAAACUGAUCAGAAGGCGGAUUUAGUAGUAAAAGAAAAUCAGAAAAUUUCUUUUAAUUUGGCACUGGGGUGUGUACACACCGCCCGUCACCCUCUUCAAAGCUAAAUAAAAGUAAUUAACCUCUCAAUGCCCCACAGAAGAGGCAAGUCGUAACAUGGUAAGUAUACCGGAAGGUGUGCUUGGAAA